ACGAACGCUGGCGGCAUGCCUAGCACAUGCAAGUCGCACGAGACCUUCGGGUCUAGUGGCGCACGGGUGCGUAACGCGUGGGAACCUGCCCUUAGGUUCGGAAUAACUCCCCGAAAGGGGUGCUAAUACCGGAUAAUGUCUUCGGACCAAAGAUUUAUCGCCUUUGGAUGGGCCCGCGUUGGAUUAGCUAGUUGGUAGGGUAAAAGCCUACCAAGGCGACGAUCCAUAGCUGGUCUGAGAGGAUGAUCAGCCACACUGGGACUGAGACACGGCCCAGACUCCUACGGGAGGCAGCAGUGGGGAAUAUUGGACAAUGGGCGAAAGCCUGAUCCAGCAAUGCCGCGUGAGUGAUGAAGGCCUUAGGGUUGUAAAGCUCUUUUACCCGGGAUGAUAAUGACAGUACCGGGAGAAUAAGCUCCGGCUAACUCCGUG
rnacentral:rRNA from 1 species